rnacentral:lncRNA from 1 species
AGAGAGAGAGAGAGAGAGAGAGAGAGAGAGAGAGAGGUCGCCGGAGAGAGAUCGGAGGAUAAGAAGAUUGGCCGCCAAGAGAGAGAGAGUACGUGAGAGAUGAGAGUGAAGCCCAUAAGUUUUAGGGUUAUGUGUAGCAGGGUCAUUUUUGUCAUUGAUCGUUUUUGACUGAAUCAGCUGCAGCUGGAUGCAUGGUAAAGACUCACCCAGCUUUUUUAAAAAAAGUUCAGCUGAGUUUUCGAAACUCACCAGGUGAUUCAUCUGGAUGUAUUGAUUAAUUACACUAAACGAACACCGAUAUUCACUUUCACCCAGAUGGAUCA